GUGGGGAAUAUUGGACAAUGGGCGAAAGCCUGAUCCAGCCAUGCCGCGUGUGUGAAGAAGGUCUUCGGAUUGUAAAGCACUUUAAGUUGGGAGGAAGGGCAGUAAGUUAAUACCUUGCUGUUUUGACGUUACCGACAGAAUAAGCACCGGCUAACUCUGUGCCAGCAGCCGCGGUAAUACAGAGGGUGCAAGCGUUAAUCGGAAUUACUGGGCGUAAAGCGCGCGUAGGUGGUUCGUUAAGUUGGAUGUGAAAGCCCCGGGCUCAACCUGGGAACUGCAUCCAAAACUGGAGAGCUAGAGUACGGUAGAGGGUGGUGGAAUUUCCUGUGUAGCGGUGAAAUGCGUAGAUAUAGGAAGGAACACCAGUGGCGAAGGCGACCACCUGGACUGAUACUGACACUGAGGUGCGAAAGCGUGGGGAGCAAACAGGAUUAGAUACCCCAGUAGUCC
rnacentral:rRNA from 1 species